UACGGGGGGAGCAAGCGUUGUUCGGAUUUACUGGGCGUAAAGGGCGCGUAGGCGGCCUCUGCAAGUCGACUGUGAAAUCUCCGGGCUUACCCGGAAAGGUCAGCCGAUACUGCAGGCUAGAGUGCAGAAGGGGCAACUGGAAUUCUCGGUGUAGCGGUGAAAUGCGUAGAUAUCGAGAGGAACACCUGCGGCGAAGGCGGGUUGCUGGGCUGACACUGACGCUGAGGCGCGAAAGCUAGGGGAGCGAACGGG
rnacentral:rRNA from 1 species